AAAAAUGGUUUUUAUACCCUUUACCCAAGGGGUAAAAGGGAAUUUUGGAAUUUUGUACUCAGAUUUGGCAAAUUCCACCAUUUAGACAUUAUGGGCCUGCAUGCCAAAUUUCAUAAGGAUAGGUCAAUUAUGAAGAAAGUUAUUGCCAUCAACAUAAUCUCUGCCGAAGCUCUACCCAAGCUCUUCCGCAGCUGCUGUUGUUGUUCCUGCUUUGACUUAUUUCUUUACUGUAAAUGUAUGCUGUUGAAAUUAUUUUGAAAAGUUUGCCAAACCGUCGAGCUUAUAUAGCGCCCGUAUGUGUGACAUGACCUUUUAACGCAUUAUGCAUGCAAAAUCUGAUCACGUGGACUCUGUUGGAAAGCUAAUUAUAGAUGUACAGAUAAUUUAAGCCAAAUUUAACAUUAUGGACUUUAAUGCUUUUCAUUAUACAUUGAAAUAUAAUUCAACAUUAUCGCAAGCCUGUGAUGGAACUAA